UACGGAGGGUGCAAGCGUUAUCCGGAUUUACUGGGCUUAAAGGGUGUGUAGGCGGGCUUUUAAGUCAGUGGUGAAAUCUCCGGGCUCAACCCGGAAACUGCCAUUGAUACUAUUAGUCUUGAAUUUUGUUGAGGUAGGCGGAAUAAGUCAUGUAGCGGUGAAAUGCUUAGAUAUGACUUAGAACACCAAUUGCGAAGGCAGCUUGCUAAACAAAUAUUGACGCUGAGGCACGAAAGCGUGGGGAUCAAACAGG
rnacentral:rRNA from 1 species